GUCAUCAGUUAGUUAAUCAGCUCAGGAAGACACCAGCACACAGUUUUCCAGCUGCUUUUGUUUGUUUCAAGUUUUUUGUUGUAACUUCUAAGUAUUUUUGGGUCAUUAUCACUAAUAUCUUCAGACUGGACCGUGAAAAUCAACCUGCCACAAUCAACAUUUAAAGAAGAUGCCACCAGAGCCACGUCUUCGACCUUGUCCCCAUCCAGAUCUGGAACACUAAGAACGGGCAAAGUGCUGCGGAGACCGCUAAGAAGUCGUAGGUUGCUGUGGCCGAAGAGGAGAAAAUAGCAAUAAGUCCCACAAACAAUAAAGCACUACCGAGCAG